UUAUGGCCAUAUCACGUUGUAACAACGGUUCUCGUACGACCGCCGGAGUUUAGCAACGUCGAGCCUGGUCCGUACUUAGAUGGGUGAUCACAUGCGAAUAUGACGUGGUGCAG